rnacentral:rRNA from 1 species
AGUGAACGCUGGCGGUAGGCCUAACACAUGCAAGUCGAACGGCAGCACAGUAAGAGCUUGCUCUUACGGGUGGCGAGUGGCGGACGGGUGAGGAAUACAUCGGAAUCUACUUUUUCGUGGGGGAUAACGUAGGGAAACUUACGCUAAUACCGCAUACGACCUACGGGUGAAAGCAGGGGAUCUUCGGACCUUGCGCGAUUGAAUGAGCCGAUGUCGGAUUAGCUAGUUGGCGGGGUUAAGGCCCACCAAGGCGACGAUCCGUAGCUGGUCUGAGAGGAUGAUCAGCCACACUGGAACUGAGACACGGUCCAGACUCCUACGGGAGGCAGCAGUGGGGAAUAUUGGACAAAGGGCGCAAGCCUGAUCCAGCCAUACCGCGUGGGUGAAGAAGGCCUUCGGGUUGUAAAGCCCUUUUGUUGGGAAAGAAAAGCAGCAGGUUAAUACCCCGCUGUUCUGACGGUACCCAAAGAAUAAGCACCGGCUAACUUCGUG